UUCCUUCCUGAAUCCAUAGGGAAGGAAAGCGAACCCGGGGAACUGAAACAUCUCAGUACCCGGAGGAACAGAAAUCAACCGAGAUUCCGUCAGUAGCGGCGAGCGAACGCGGAACAGCCAUCAGCAGCUAACCGGCGGAUCAGGAGAAUGGCAUGGAAAGGCCGGCCACAGCGGGUGACAGCCCCGUAUCCGAAAACCUGCCGGCGAGACUAAGGCUGAAUCAAGUAAGGCGGGGCACGUGAAAACCCUGUCCGAACAUGGGGGGACCAUCCUCCAAGGCUAAAUACUCGUGGUCGACCGAUAGUGAACCAGUACCGUGAGGGAAAGGCGAAAAAGAACCCCGGCGAGGGGAGUGAAAUAGACCCUGAAACCGUAUGCGUACAAGCAGUCGGAGCCUUCCUUGGAAGGUGACGGCGUACCUUUUUGUAUAAUGGUUCAGUCGACUUACUUUCAGCGGCCAGCCUAACCGAUCGGGGAGCGCAGGGAAACCGAGUCCGAACAGGGCGAAUGAGUC
rnacentral:rRNA from 1 species